UUUCCGCUUAUUAAUAAUAACUGCCGUAUCCCAACCGUAUCUCUGCAUGCCGAGAGUAUUCAACUGGAAAACACGAACAUUAUUCGGAUACUGGAAAGAUGCUCGACGGAUACAGUUAAGAUGCAUUAAGACUGCGCUAUUGCAGUACAAUCGAGACAACAGGCAAAAGUGUGCUUUCGAUGAAGGUGUUAAUGUUAUAAAUGCAAAAUAAUCUGUCGGGGGACGAUGGAAGGUUUUUCUUAUCUUGAUACUAUUCUCGACAUCUCCAAGUUGUUUAUUUCUGUGUGCGUUUUUUCGGAGUUCCUUGCGUUCAUUAUUGAUAUCUCCUAUAAACGUAUUUGCCAUCUGCAGCUUUACUGGAUCUGAUGUGUCAGUAUCUGAACGUGGGUGACGAGCUUUGUGGCGCGAGAUCCUGGAUUCUCAACUAAUGACGAAAUUACGGGCAUCAGAACCAAAAUGCCGGGAAUUCUCUUGAUGAUAGCGGUGCAAAUCGGUAGUUUUUGCUCCCGAAGGAUUUAACUACUAAGUGUACUCGUACACUGUGACUGAUUUGUCGUACGUUGAUCCCAGAGUUCUUCGUGUGCAGCGCGUAUUGGUCAUGUGUGGAUGGGUUCGUGAUGAUGACGACUCUCGCUCAUCCGUCCGAACCGGGAUGUCGAACGAGGCAUCCCGUUCCGAGCGAUUAGCAAGGCUCGUCGUCUGAUAAAAGUUCGCAAUCGACAUAAUCAGCUCCUAAUCGAGUCGUUGCUAUAGCUACCCAUCAUCAUGUAUACACAACGUGCAUACGUGCAUAUCCACAAUCCAUAUCCACAAUAAAUACGGAUGGAUUUCCAUCCGGAUAUGAGAAACCCCUUCAAAAGAUCCAGACGGCAAAAUAACCAAGCAAUGCCUAGAGAUACGCUAGCUGACUCGACUCGGAUUUGAAAAAACUGCAGUGACUCCUGGAUUUUCGGCUGGUGUGCCGACAAUCCUUGGGUUCUGGAAGCCAAUUUCGCAACUAUACUACACAAUAUUCCAUGGGCCGUAGUUGGGUCGCCGUCUCCGCCGCGGAGCACCGCCGCGUGUUUAUCCCACUGCACGGCGGAAUCAUAUCAAGUAUGGGUAUCCCGUACUGCCAAAGCACUGGCAGUGCUCCUCAUGAUCACACCACGACAUCGAUUAAGCACGCGAUGGCUUUGACUGUGUGCGCAGCGCAUUCCACCACCGCGUCGACAUCCUGAAUGUAUUCCAGCCGCCCACCACCCCUUGCUGGUCCUGAUUUGAGGAGAGAAACAGCUCACGUACAGCGACAAAAUCUUUCAAGGAUUUUUUAACACUGUACGCCGUGGUGCAGAGGCACUGCCUACGCGGAUCUUACGACGUAGCCGGUUUUCGAUUCCCCCGUCGGUGGAUUUUGCGGAACAUUUCUCGGUUUCCUUCGGAUGGUGCCCUGCUAAGUCCGGCAUUUAAGAGCCAGCCAAAUGAAUCGGCUGAGAGGCAGAUUGUUCAUUUUUUCUGGUAAGUCAUCUGACUGGCAUCACGUACGUUUGCAAUGCGUCUGGUGAACGCUUUUGAACGGAUUCAAAAAAUCAAUAUAGAGAUACUCAAUGUUAGCGGUGUUGGCUUCUUUUAAGUUUGCUCUGAAAUCCGUCGAUCUGUUCGAAUCUCUUUUUUUAUUGUUAACCUUUAGCUGUUUUUUACCGACCAGACGUGGUUGUCUGCUCUUGAUAUAUGAAUGAAUGAAUCAGCCAGCAGCCGCCGGAAACGCAGCCAUCCGUUCGGCCGUCGGGUUGAUCAGAUAUGAAGGCACAGUAAGUAAUCAAUAAAAUCCGGUAUCACGGAUUUUAACAUUUUCGUAUAACGCUUCGAUGGCUACUUCGACGUUUUCGCAUUCCGGACAGACACGGCAUUCUCCGCGUGGUUCCACUUUCGAGAGCUGGAUAAUCUUUUAUCAUUCUCGUGUACACGCUUGCAUAAACACAAUGAUUCAAAAAACUUUAGAGGACCCGCAAAAGCGUACAGAUGCAAGUAGACAUUAGACUUACACCUAGUGAAAGGUAAGAAUUGAGAGGAUAAACGAUUGCCGUGUAAAGCACGUUUAUCGUCUGUUUACGAGGUCACGGAAAGAUCUUUCAGCGCAUCUUGCGACAGCAGUGUAAACUUGUAAAUGACGGUGAUUAUCCGUUUUAAGAUAUUUAUCGUUUUAUCCGAUUUGUGUAGCCAUGAAAGCGAUACAAUGGUGAGUAACUACGCUCGGAUUCUCGAAAUGUCGGUUUCCGGUGAUCGGUGCAACGGGAACCCAGGGCGCAAUUCCCAAUGCGCCGCUUAUCUCCGUAGCCCUGAUCGCGUCCGAAAAGCGCCGAACAUCAUCCCAUUAGAGAAUUUUACCCUCCCGCGAUCCUGGUUUGGAUUAGGAAGAGCAGGAUGAUCUGUUGAUGACUCAGCAUCUGGUAAUUGUGGAAGUUUGUGAUGCAACCAUCAUCAAAAGAAUCUCCCAACAGCAAAGUUUAUAACAAAAAUCAGAAUCAGUCGGCAGUCGUAUUCCAGCAAAACUUGAAAGAUCAGGAGGCCCAUUAGCCAGCCGGUGCAGGCUGCAACCUCCUCCUCAACCUUUCACUCGUCAAGCCGUGGGAACCCCCUUCGUUCGCUGGAUAAUCGGUGGGGAACGGCGUGAACCUGUGAAAGCAGUUCAUGUUGUUCCGAAUCGCACAGAAAGAAAAACGUUGAUAUAACAUCUUUUUAACUUCUCAUGUUGGAAUUCGGGCAUAGCUUCUACGUAUGCAUCAUGGUCCUUUCCCGCAAUGUUCCCGAUGGAGGCGAAGUUGUCAAACGCGCCGUUUUCCGUGGUGCCGGCGCACGUCAGAAACUGAUGGUUGCUGAUGCACACCGAGUUGUGCUGCAAAAGCAGUUGUCCCAGCAUCUUCGUCAAAUCUUUGUGGAAAGGUGCGGGAAUAUCGGAUUGGGAAAGGUUGGUACUCUGUUGAAAGAGCGGCAUGAUGUCGGUAGACGACCGUUGCGGACGAAGAACGUGACUGCUGAGAGAUUUCUCUUUUUUUACGGAGAAGCAAUCGAGGUAGUUUGCUGGGCUCGGAUCGAAGCGGCCAGACAAAAUGCCUGAAGAUACGAGUCACACGAGGGACGGUACCCUAGAAUCGUCCUUAACCGAACGAAACUCGAAAGGUCGCCGAGAACCACCGCAAUUAUGGCGGAUUAAAGCUGGCAGUCCGCGGAUCAGUGAUGAAUGGCCGAUUGGCGCUGGUUUCUACCUUUCGCGAUGGUUUACGAGGAAAUUAUAAAUGCUGCGUGGAAUAUUCGAUUGUGGAUAUCGUUGGCCCGGUAAUUAAGUACCAAUUCUAGAAGAACGUUUUUUUGCAAUAAUUUAUAUCGGAAUUUUAUCGCAAGUGUGGCUCGAAUAAGUUUGCACAUUAUUAGUUGGUACUUGAUUGCCAAUAAUUUAAUGCAAUGACUGAGCUACGUGCGGCUGCGAAGUUAUUGAGAAACUCCGUAGAAUAACUAUUAUUGAUAACUACAUUAUUGCUUGCAUUUUUCCAUACAAACAGGUGUACCGAAAGUCUUAUUAUGAGCCGUUCUUACACUGUAGCCGUCUGCGGCUGCCAGUCCAGUGCUCUGGAAAAUAGAAUUCGCAAUCGAAUCGAAUGCUAUUGAUUCGAUCUUAAUGUUUGACGAAUUAGUAAAGACGAAUACUCGCACCGACAAAAACGAGCAAAAUAACUGUACUUUACAACUUUCCUGUCGUAUAGCAGAUAAAGCACGUAGCGUGAAGAAAAUCACUUGAAGUUAAAAUUAACUUUAUUCAGUACAUUUAAAAAAAGUUGAUUUCGUUGUACAGAUUCCAGAUUUUGAAUGCGUUCCUAAAAUGCUCUGCUGAGCAACGAUGAAACUGUGUCAUACAAGCAAAAUGCUGAACACAACUGACAACAAGCAGCAGUCACGCAGGCCCGACCGUUGUCUUUGCUCAG